ACCAACAGGGAUUGCCUAGUAACGGCGAGUGAAGCGGCAUCAGCUCAAAUUUGAAAUCUGGCUCUUUUAGGGUCCGAGUUGUAAUUUGCAGAGGGCGCUUUGGCAUAGGCAGCGAUUCAAGUUCCUUGGAACAGGACGUCACAGAGGGUGAGAUCCCCGUACGUGGUCGCCAGCUCUUGCCGUGUAAAGCCCCUUCGACGAGUCGAGUUGUUUGGGAAUGCAGCUCUAAAUGGGAGGUAAAUUUCUUCUAAAGCUAAAUAUUGGCCAGAGACCGAUAGCGCACAAGUAGAGUGAUCGAAAGAUGAAAAGUACUUUGGAAAGAGAGUCAAAAAGCACGUGAAAUUGUUGAAAGGGAAGCGCUUGCAGCCAGACUUGCCUAUAGUUGCUCAUCCGGGCUCUUGCCCGGUGCACUCUCUGUAGGCAGGCCAGCAUCAGUUUGGCGUUGGAUAAAGGUCUCUGUCAUGUACCUCUCUUCGGGGAGCCUUAUA
rnacentral:rRNA from 1 species